GACGAACGCUGGCGGCGUGCCUAAUACAUGCAAGUUGAGCGCUGAAGGUUGGUCCUUGUACCAACUGGAUGAGCAGCGAACGGGUGAGUAACGCGUGGGGAAUCUGCCUUUGAGCGGGGGACAACAUUUGGAAACGAAUGCUAAUACCGCAUAAAAACUUUAAACACAAGUUUUAAGUUUGAAAGAUGCAAUUGCAUCACUCAAAGAUGAUCCCGCGUUGUAUUAGCUAGUUGGUGAGGUAAAGGCUCACCAAGGCGAUGAUACAUAGCCGACCUGAGAGGGUGAACGGCCACAUUGGGACUGAAACACGGCCCAAACUCCUACGGGAGGCAGCAGUAGGGAAUCUUCGGCAAUGGACGAAAGUCUGACCGAGCAACGCCGCGUGAGUGAAGAAGGUUUUCGGAUCGUAAAACUCUGUUGGUAGGGAAGAACGUUGGUGAGAGUGGAAAGCUCAUCAAGUGACGGUAACUACCCAGAAAGGGACGGCUAACUACGUG
rnacentral:rRNA from 1 species